GGACUACCCGGGUUUCUAAUCCUGUUUGCUCCCCACGCUUUCGUGCCUGAGCGUCAAUCUUGGCCCAGGGGGCUGCCUUCGCCAUCGGUGUUCCGCCACAUCUCUACGCAUUUCACUGCUACACGUGGCAUUCCACCCCCCUCUGCCAGAUUCAAGUCCCAUAGUUUCCACUGCCAUUCCCAGGUUGAGCCCGGGGCUUUCACAGCGGACUUGCGAAACCGCCUACGCACGCUUUACGCCCAGUAAUUCCGAUUAACGCUCGCACCCUACGUAUUACCGCGGCGGCUGGCAC
rnacentral:rRNA from 2 species